GCCACUGCUAUUUCUGCGAUUUCUGCUACUUCCGCGAUUUCUGCGACUUCUGCUACUUCUGUGAUUUCUGUGACUUCUGCUACUUCUGCGAUUUCUGUGACUUCUGCUACUUCUGCGAUUUCUGUGACUUCUGCUACUUCUGCGAUUUCUGUGACUUCUGCUACUUCUGCGAUUUCUGUGACUCCUGCGAUUUCUGCGACUUACCACCGCAUGAAAAAGCUACAUCUGUCCACACAGAAAAUUGCAUCUCAACAAACAUGUCAUUGGUACCCGAACUACAUUUCAGUCACUCAGUAAACUGAUAACUCAAAAUAUCAUUGUCAGCAGAUCUGGAGAAAUUGCCACUGCGUCUUUAGACCGUUUUCGUCAGACGAGAGACACAGUUCUGGUUGCUGUACGUAUC